rnacentral:rRNA from 1 species
AUGAAAAAAGCCAUUGAAUUAACUAAAAAAGCAGAUCUAAGGGGAGUAAAAGUAAAAAUUGUGGGUCGUCUCGGAGGAAAAGAAAUUGCACGCGCCGAAUCUAUUAAAAAGGGUAGACUUCCCCUCCAAACAAUUCGCGCUAAAAUUGAUUAUUGCUGCUAUCCAAUUCGGACUAUCUAUGGAGUAUUAGGUGUAAAAAUUUGGAUAUUCGUAGACGAAGAAUAA